UUGAUGAUGAUAUCUCUAUUUUUCAUCUAAAUAAUUAGCCAAUUAAAUGGAGCACAAUUAUUAACCUAAGAGAUAUUCUUCUUAUCCACGUGGCGCCUUGUGAUUGGAUGCCGAAAUAUUUGUUCCCACACCAAUGACAAGGUGACACGUGAAUAGUGGAAAAUUCAUUAGGUCAAAUAAUUGUGUUAAUUAAAUUAAUUAACCAACUAUGGUUAAUUUAAGAUUGGAAUAUCUCCCUAAAUCAAGGAUUUGAUUUAAGACCAGUUAACUGACUUAUGCAUCGGAUCGCCUUUAGCCAACACCCUUCAGGUGUGUUCCGUUGACCGAAUCUAUUUUGUAGGAAUAAAAAAAAAAAAAAAAGGGGAUCGAAUGUUAAAAUGAUCAUCCGCGAAUAUUCUCCCCAAGAUGAAAUUUGCACAAACAGCCUUGAUGCCAACAAAACUUGGAUGAUGUUCAGCUCUAUCUCCUUAUAAAUUGUGGUGGGAGGGAGUGAUAUGGGCGGAUCAUCAGAAUUCAGAAAAUCUGUAGCUUUUCUUCCAUGGAAUGCCAUAUUAAUUAGGUGUUUGAUUUUCG
rnacentral:lncRNA from 1 species